AUGGUUUCCGCCGACGUGGCCCGCAACAUCGUCGGCAUCAUUGGCAAUGUCAUCUCCUUUGGACUCUUCCUCUCCCCUGUGCCGACGUUCUGGCAUAUCUGCAAGGCCAAGAACGUGGAGGAGUUCAAGCCGGACCCCUACCUGGCGACGCUCAUGAACUGCCUGCUCUGGUUCUUCUACGGGCUCCCUACCGUCCACCCCAACAGCACCCUCGUCCUCACCAUCAACGGCAUCGGCCUCGUCAUCGAGGGCGCCUACAUCAUCAUCUUCAUCAUCUACGCGGCCAAGAACACAAGGUGGAAGAUGCUCGGCGUGCUCGCCAUCCAGGCGGCGUUCAUGGCUGCUGUGGUGGCCGGUGUGCUCGUCGGCGCCCACACCCAUGAGAAGCGCUCCAUGAUCGUAGGCAUCCUUUGCGUCAUCUUCGGCUCCAUCAUGUACGCCUCCCCGCUCACCAUCAUGGGUAAAGUGAUCAGGACCAAGAGUGUGGAGUACAUGCCAUUCUUCCUGUCACUGGUAAACUUCCUCAACGGUCUCUGCUGGACGGGCUAUGCGCUAAUCAAGUUUGACAUCUACAUCACGAUCCCCAAUGCCCUCGGUACAAUCUUCGGCCUCAUCCAGCUGAUCCUUUACGGGUACUACUACAGAUCUACCCCCAAGAAGGGCAAGAAUGUCGAGCUGCCCACCGUCCUCACCAAAAACGCCGUUACCAGCGGCAACGUCUCUGUCACCAUAGAGAAAUAA
rnacentral:rRNA from 1 species